AACCAACCAAGCUUCCUCCAGACCUGAGAGGCAGAGAAAUGACUGAGCACCGAAGUCCUGCAGAGGUGAUUGUGGUUAAUAUCCUGUGAAAGUUUUAGACGGCUUCCUACCAAGCAUAAAAUUAAAUAGUGGUUUAUUAGGUAUGGCAUGUUCCUCCUAAUUGGAACCAAAUAUUCCAACCAAAUGUUGGCUUGGAUUUCAGUAGCCUGUGAGAGACCAUGUUCUCCUGACUGACAGUUACAAGAAUCUAUCUAUGUGCUUCAUUUUCCGUGGAUCUGGAGGAUUAUGGCUCAUCUUUUCGAGGGCACAAACAAUUUCCACUUUGAGCAUCAGUUUCAGUUGCCCUGGAGAGAGUGUUCCUCCCUGAUGGAUGUUCUUGGAUCUCUCAUUGUCCCAGGACCCUUCUAAGGCAGACAUUGAGUUUUCACAAGCUGGUGGAGAGGUUUCUGAAUAUCACAGUAACUAGUUAGAAACACCUGAUUUCUCUUCUCCCACCUUCUCAUUUAAAUAAUCUUGAAGAAUAUGGAAAACGAGAACAUUCAGCAACAAUCUGCUCUACUUGAGAAGGACUUGCACAAGAGAUAACAUAAAUUUUCCGGAAAAAGUAACCUAAAUUGAUUCCAUGUGAGUAGAAAACCUGAAUAGUUCAGUAACCAUGGAGGAAUUCCCCUUACCUCCCAAAUGACUCUACGUGCAGAUAGUAAGAAAAGGUGUUUCCUUUUCAUUGGUAAGCCCCAGGACAGAGGAUGAAAGUAAGAAGAUGAACCGGAGGAAAUUCGCACAAUAAUGCA
rnacentral:lncRNA from 1 species